AAGCUACUCCCUCCGUUCGGAAUUACUUGUCUAAAAAAUGAAUAUAUAUAAAACUAAAAUACGUCUAGAUACAUCCAUUUCUGCGACAAGUAAUUCCGAACGGAGGGAGUAAUUA
rnacentral:pre_miRNA from 1 species